rfam:Solanum tuberosum cultivar DM 1-3 516 R44 scf00026_100, whole genome shotgun sequence.
GUGAGGUGGAAUCAGCGUUUGGACCUGCGAUUUUACGCUGAUUUCAUCUCAUGA